AUAUUGCUUGUUUGUAGCAAAAAAAAAAAAAAAAAAAAAGACUUUAGACCAGAUACGGGACAAAGCAAACAAGAUCAAAAACAAUUCAAGGUUCAGCAAAGUAAGAAAACAGAUUAAUUUUACCAGGAGUCCAAAAAAUUAUCGCAAUCAUUGUAGAGAUGGAGGAACUAUCUGGUCAAGAUUUUUAUCAAAAGAGGCCAAGGUCAGUUGCGGUAAGAGUAACAGACAGAGUCUGGAGUCA